ensembl:lncRNA
CUAGCGAGCGAGCAUUUUAGCCAGGUAGCCUAGGACAAUGAAAACUGUAUAAUAGAGUGAUGAACGAGAGGAGGACAUAAGCGUUUUCUGGCAGAACACCGGCUGCCACGGAAGGAGUGGACCCAGCCCAGAUCAACCCAACAAGCAUAGACCACAGAGAGACCCUGUGACUGUACAGUACACUGGUAAUGACACUGUGUCCGCCUGUAACAUCUGAAAGGGCUGCAUCUGCAGAGAUGAUACUAUAUGUGAUAUACCCAGCUCCGACGGAGAGGAUUCUCUCUCCCCUGAGCUCUCAGAGUGCAUGGGGUAAGACAGGAGCCUUCUGGCUUAGGAACAGUUAUAACAAGGAACUCUACAUACAUUUGACUAUAAAAUCAUCUUAUUAUGGUGUGGUUGUGUGUGCUAGCAUUUGAUGCUUGUGCACGCUCAUGUGUACAUGUGUGACGAUACGACAAUUUAUUUGCGUACUAAAAAAAAAUGCUAUCUAGAACCUAAAAGGGUUCUUUGGCAGUCCCCAUAGGAGAACCCUUUGAAGAACCCUUUUAGGUUCCAGGUAGAACCAUUUUGGGUUCCAUGUAGAACCCUUUCCACAGAGGGUUCUACAUGGAACACAAAAGCAGCAGGGAGGAAAGUGUCAUGGCGGAGGAGGCCUUUUUCGCCCUCAUUUUCCCUGGAGCCUGCCCGUGAAGUGAGACAUUCCUUAUAGAGGUGCAAAACCACACUUCGCUAAGUCUCUGUUUAAUUUAGCUAUGCAUAAUCUCUUAAACAUCUUUAUUUUAUCCAUGGCUAAGGCCCAGAGCUUGGCAUGACAACGUUCAGUCAUCUUCACCAAGCUGAAUACUGUAGGAAUACUUUAAGCUCCAGUGUUGUUUCUCUCCUGCCAGUACUUUCAUUGCAGACAGACCGUGUCUGAGGCUCAGUUAUCUCAGGCUAAUGCCAUUGUAUAAACUCGGCCCGUGGAUUAUUUUAUUUGGCCACCCAUGUUUUCUGAGCAAUCAUUUUUGUUGUUGGACAUGAAAGACUGUAAAAUUACCAGGAAAUCAGUCCAAUGUGAUUUUAAUUCAGGAAAUAUCUUUCUAAAUAUUCCCACGCAUAAAUCUAGAGGCAUAUGUGAUCGUAUCCUAAUGUAAGGCUUUAAAUAAUUCUGGUUUUGUAAAAAUACUAUAUCUGUUUGUGAUUUUUGCGGUCUGUUUGCAGUGGACAAAUGAUUUACAGUACAACCAUGUUCUGACCCACCGACAAUCCACUCAAGGAAAAAUUGGCCCAGGGCUGAAUGCAAUUGGGGACCCCUGCUGUACUUGAUGCUUGUAUCAGACAGGAAAGCUUCAGAUUUUCAGAUUUAUACCUUUUUGAUUUUGUCCCAAGAUGCCUUCCAAU